UAAUUUACCAAAAAAAUUAAUAAAUUAAUUUUUUUUAUUUAAAUUUAUUGAAUAAUUUGAGUAUAAAUAAUUAUUUAAAAUAUAAAUUAAAUAAAUUUAAAUAAUUUUUUUAAUUUAAAAUUAAUAUUUAAAUUAAUUAUUUAAAUGAAAAUUUAUUAUAGAAAAUUAAUUUAAUAUUAUUGAUUAAUAAAGUGCCAGCAAUAGCGGUUAUACUUUAAAUAAAAAUAAAUUUUUUUUAAUUAAAAUAAAUUAUUAAAAUAUUAUUAGUUUCGAAUUAAAAAAAAAAAUUUAUGGUGAAAUAUAUAUUUUAAUUUAAAUUAAUUUAAAAUUAAUAAUUUAAAAUUUAUUUAUGUAAAUAUUAUAUAAAAUUAGGAUUAGAUACCCUAUUAUUAUUAUGAUUAAUUUGAUUAAAUUAAAUAUUAAAUGUAAAUCAUUAAAGAUAAAAAAUUUGGCGGUAUUUUAUUAAUAUUAAAGGAAUUUGUUGAUUAAUUUGAUAAUCCACGAAUGGAGAGACUUAAACUUUAAAUUUUAUAUAUUGUUGUUGAAAAAUUAUAUUAUUAGAUAUUUAUUUAAAAAUUAUGACAUAAAUAAUAAUAAUUCAAAUCAAAAUGUAGACUUAGUUAAGAUUUUUAAUGAAUUACAAUUAAUUUUAUUAAUGAAAAUUAAAUUUUAAUAUUUAGUAGAAAUUGAAUUUAAAUGUAAAUUUAUAAAAAUUUAUAAAUUGAAUUUUAUUUAAAAUAUGUACAAAUUGCCCGUCAUUUUCAUUUUAAUUGUGAAAAAAGUCGUAACAAAGUAAGUAUACUGGAAGGUGUAGUUAGUUAAAA
rnacentral:ncRNA from 1 species